AGCCAUUGUGGUUUAGGAACACUAUUGGUUUUCACCUCGCUCACCACUGCUCACCACCUCAUCGUUUUAAUCAGAGAUUUUAUGCCUUUUGAUAACUGCAGAGAUAUUCGUCAUUAAGAUCCCAGCACUUUUACUAGGCAGAAGAUUCACAAAAGCACAUCGAUCAGCGAAAUUGAAGCUUUCAUUCAAGAAUGGCUACGACGAGCGAGAGACAGAAUAAGAGCCCUACUAAAAAAAUAAAUGGGAAUAUAUUAAGCAAUUUAAUGUAAAAGAUGGAGUUAUUUUAUUUUUUGUUCACAAAACUCUAAUUUUUUUUAAUUUACAAUUAUAACGUAUGCAUUUAUUUUUAUCAGAUGUUAAUUACAUGUGUAUACGAAUACAAA